rnacentral:SRP_RNA from 1 species
GGUCGGGCCCUGUGCGACGGGCGCCCGGGAAUCAGGUCAGGACCGGGAGGUAGCAGCCUUCAACGGCAGCGCCUGUGUGCCGCAGGUAGCCUGGCCGUC